CAGUAGCCACGGUAAUACGUAGGUGGCAAGCGUUGUCCGGAAUUAUUGGGCGUAAAGCGCGCGCAGGCGGAUCAGUCAGUCUGUCUUAAAAGUUCGGGGCUUAACCCCGUGAUGGGAUGGAAACUGCUGAUCUAGAGUAUCGGAGAGGAAAGUGGAAUUCCUAGUGUAGCGGUGAAAUGCGUAGAUAUUAGGAAGAACACCAGUGGCGAAGGCGACUUUCUGGACGAAAACUGACGCUGAGGCGCGAAAGCCAGGGGAGCGAACGGGAUUAGAUACCCCAGUAGUCCCUGUCUCUUAUACA
rnacentral:rRNA from 1 species